rnacentral:rRNA from 1 species
GACGAACGCUGGCGGCGUGCUUAACACAUGCAAGUCGAACGGAAAGGCCCUGCUUGCAGGGUACUCGAGUGGCGAACGGGUGAGUAACACGUGGGUGAUCUGCCCUGCACUUCGGGAUAAGCCUGGGAAACUGGGUCUAAUACCGGAUAGGAGCCAUUUUUAGUGUGAUGGUUGGAAAGUUUUUUCGGUGUAGGAUGAGCUCGCGGCCUAUCAGCUUGUUGGUGGGGUAAUGGCCUACCAAGGCGGCGACGGGUAGCCGGCCUGAGAGGGUGGACGGCCACAUUGGGACUGAGAGACGGCCCAGACUCCUACGGGAGGCGGCAGUGGGGAAUAUUGCACAAUGGGCGCAAGCCUGAUGCAGCGACGCCGCGUGGGGGAUGACGGCCUUCGGGUUGUAAACUCCUUUCGCUAGGGACGAAGCUUUUUGUGACGGUACCUAGAUAAGAAGCACCGGCUAACUACGUG